UACGUAGGGAGCAAGCGUUGUCCGGAAUCAUUGGGCGUAAAGCGCGCGUAGGCGGCCCGAUAAGUCCGCUGUGAAAGUCAACGGCUCAACUGUUGAAAGCCGGUGGAUACUGUCGGGCUAGAGUACGGAAGAGGCAAGUGGAAUUCCUGGUGUAGCGGUGGAAUGCGCAGAUAUCAGGAGGAACACCCAUAGCGAAGGCAGCGGGCUGGGACGUUACUGACGCUAAGGCGCGAAAGCGUGGGGAGCGAACAGG
rnacentral:rRNA from 1 species